rnacentral:rRNA from 1 species
UACGAACCGUCCAAACGUUACUCGGAAUCACUGGGCUUAAAGGGUGCUUAGGCCGCGCGGAGGGUGGGAUGUGACAUCCCCCGGCUCAACCGGGGAAUAGCGUCCCAAACCGCCGUGCUCGAGGGAGACAGAGGUGAGCGGAACUGAUGGUGGAGCGGUGAAAUGCGUUGAUAUCAUCAGGAACACCAGUGGCGAAAGAGGCGCAUGGGGUCUUUCCUAACGAUGAGGCACGAAAGCUAGGGGAGCGAACGGG